GGUUAAGCGACUAAGCGUACACGGUGGAUGCCCUGGCAGUCAGAGGCGAUGAAGGACGUGCUAAUCUGCGAUAAGCGUCGGUAAGGUGAUAUGAACCGUUAUAACCGGCGAUUUCCGAAUGGGGAAACCCAGUGUGUUUCGACACACUAUCAUUAACUGAAUCCAUAGGUUAAUGAGGCGAACCGGGGGAACUGAAACAUCUAAGUACCCCGAGGAAAAGAAAUCAACCGAGAUUCCCCCAGUAGCGGCGAGCGAACGGGGAGCAGCCCAGAGCCUGAAUCAGUGUGUGUGUUAGUGGAAGCGUCUGGAAAGGCGCGCGAUACAGGGUGACAGCCCCGUACACAAAAAUGCACAUGCUGUGAGCUCGAUGAGUAGGGCGGGACACGUGGUAUCCUGUCUGAAUAUGGGGGGACCAUCCUCCAAGGCUAAAUACUCCUGACUGACCGAUAGUGAACCAGUACCGUGAGGGAAAGGCGAAAAGAACCCCGGCGAGGGGAGUGAAAAAGAACCUGAAACCGUGUACGUACAAGCAGUGGGAGCACGCUUAGGCGUGUGACUGCGUACCUUUUGUAUAAUGGGUCAGCGACUUAUAUUCUGUAGCAAGGUUAACCGAAUAGGGGAGCCGAAGGGAAACCGAGUCUUAACUGGGCGUUAAGUUGCAGGGUAUAGACCCGAAACCCGGUGAUCUAGCCAUGGGCAGGUUGAAGGUUGGGUAACACUAACUGGAGGACCGAACCGACUAAUGUUGAAAAAUUAGCGGAUGACUUGUGGCUGGGGGUGAAAGGCCAAUCAAACCGGGAGAUAGCUGGUUCUCCCCGAAAGCUAUUUAGGUAGCGCCUCGUGAAUUCAUCUCCGGGGGUAGAGCACUGUUUCGGCAAGGGGGUCAUCCCGACUUACCAACCCGAUGCAAACUGCGAAUACCGGAGAAUGUUAUCACGGGAGACACACGGCGGGUGCUAACGUCCGUCGUGAAGAGGGAAACAACCCAGACCGCCAGCUAAGGUCCCAAAGUCAUGGUUAAGUGGGAAACGAUGUGGGAAGGCCCAGACAGCCAGGAUGUUGGCUUAGAAGCAGCCAUCAUUUAAAGAAAGCGUAAUAGCUCACUGGUCGAGUCGGCCUGCGCGGAAGAUGUAACGGGGCUAAACCAUGCACCGAAGCUGCGGCAGCGACGCUUAUGCGUUGUUGGGUAGGGGAGCGUUCUGUAAGCCUGCGAAGGUGUGCUGUGAGGCAUGCUGGAGGUAUCAGAAGUGCGAAUGCUGACAUAAGUAACGAUAAAGCGGGUGAAAAGCCCGCUCGCCGGAAGACCAAGGGUUCCUGUCCAACGUUAAUCGGGGCAGGGUGAGUCGACCCCUAAGGCGAGGCCGAAAGGCGUAGUCGAUGGGAAACAGGUUAAUAUUCCUGUACUUGGUGUUACUGCGAAGGGGGGACGGAGAAGGCUAUGUUGGCCGGGCGACGGUUGUCCCGGUUUAAGCGUGUAGGCUGGUUUUCCAGGCAAAUCCGGAAAAUCAAGGCUGAGGCGUGAUGACGAGGCACUACGGUGCUGAAGCAACAAAUGCCCUGCUUCCAGGAAAAGCCUCUAAGCAUCAGGUAACAUCAAAUCGUACCCCAAACCGACACAGGUGGUCAGGUAGAGAAUACCAAGGCGCUUGAGAGAACUCGGGUGAAGGAACUAGGCAAAAUGGUGCCGUAACUUCGGGAGAAGGCACGCUGAUAUGUAGGUGAAGCGACUUGCUCGUGGAGCUGAAAUCAGUCGAAGAUACCAGCUGGCUGCAACUGUUUAUUAAAAACACAGCACUGUGCAAACACGAAAGUGGACGUAUACGGUGUGACGCCUGCCCGGUGCCGGAAGGUUAAUUGAUGGGGUUAGCGCAAGCGAAGCUCUUGAUCGAAGCCCCGGUAAACGGCGGCCGUAACUAUAACGGUCCUAAGGUAGCGAAAUUCCUUGUCGGGUAAGUUCCGACCUGCACGAAUGGCGUAAUGAUGGCCAGGCUGUCUCCACCCGAGACUCAGUGAAAUUGAACUCGCUGUGAAGAUGCAGUGUACCCGCGGCAAGACGGAAAGACCCCGUGAACCUUUACUAUAGCUUGACACUGAACAUUGAGCCUUGAUGUGUAGGAUAGGUGGGAGGCUUAGAAGUGUGGACGCCAGUCUGCAUGGAGCCGACCUUGAAAUACCACCCUUUAAUGUUUGAUGUUCUAACGUUGACCCGUAAUCCGGGUUGCGGACAGUGUCUGGUGGGUAGUUUGACUGGGGCGGUCUCCUCCUAAAGAGUAACGGAGGAGCACGAAGGUUGGCUAAUCCUGGUCGGACAUCAGGAGGUUAGUGCAAUGGCAUAAGCCAGCUUGACUGCGAGCGUGACGGCGCGAGCAGGUGCGAAAGCAGGUCAUAGUGAUCCGGUGGUUCUGAAUGGAAGGGCCAUCGCUCAACGGAUAAAAGGUACUCCGGGGAUAACAGGCUGAUACCGCCCAAGAGUUCAUAUCGACGGCGGUGUUUGGCACCUCGAUGUCGGCUCAUCACAUCCUGGGGCUGAAGUAGGUCCCAAGGGUAUGGCUGUUCGCCAUUUAAAGUGGUACGCGAGCUGGGUUUAGAACGUCGUGAGACAGUUCGGUCCCUAUCUGCCGUGGGCGCUGGAGAACUGAGGGGGGCUGCUCCUAGUACGAGAGGACCGGAGUGGACGCAUCACUGGUGUUCGGGUUGUCAUGCCAAUGGCACUGCCCGGUAGCUAAAUGCGGAAGAGAUAAGUGCUGAAAGCAUCUAAGCACGAAACUUGCCCCGAGAUGAGUUCUCCCUGACCCUUUAAGGGUCCUGAAGGAACGUUGAAGACGACGACGUUGAUAGGCCGGGUGUGUAAGCGCAGCGAUGCGUUGAGCUAACCGGUACUAAUGAACCGUGAGGCUUAACCUUAC
rnacentral:rRNA from 1 species